UUGAGUUGUCAGGAUGAGGACUGCCUUGGGACCUUGACUCAGGAGCAGUAACUGGGAAAAGAGGACAGUGGGGAGCACAGGGUGCUUGUCCUUCCCUGGAGCAACCAGAUGUACCUGUAGGUCAGAGAUGACUGAACUCUCUUCUGUCACCGUCCCACAGCCAGCUUCCUAAGCCUGGUGGGUGGGACUUCUGAUAAGCAUUGCAAGAUGUCUGGAGCCAUGUGGUACAACCCAAAUAUAACAGCACCGGGCAGCCUGAGAGCAUUGUUCUCUGGUCACACAGGAAGUGUGUCUCUCUGAAUGUCACCCGGAGCCUUUCUGCACAAGGCAUAAUGAUGCCAGGAAAGGAAGCAGUAAGACAUUUUUGAACCACUGAGGAGAUUUUGGCACUGUGUAGUGCCCGGUAUGGGACAGCUCUGCCUUGCAGAAAGCAUAAUGGGAGCCCUCGUGAAUGAAGAUGUGCCUUUGCUGUGAAAACAGUGGUGCCUCUAAUUACAAGAGAAGCAUCUUCAGUCUUAGAGCCAAAUUCUUGAUAAGGAAAUGUCCUUGUUUAAGUGUAUCUAAUUGAGACCUGCACUCCAGCUCCUAUACAUAGGUGAUGCUCAGCAGUUGUGUGGAAGUAAAAAUGACCCAGCUGUGACUUCUCGCCCAGCUCUAUGGUGCUUUACAGCAAAGCUGAUGAAGCCUAGAGGUGUCUGUCCUCACAAAACCUCACUGCAUCCCUCCAUGUGUUAUUGCUGCUCUGAGGGAUGGCAGAAAGCCCCCAUGGGGAUCUCUGCUUGAUUUUGGUGAGAUUUGAUGUUAAUUUGGGAUUACAAUUGAGCCUGAAUGUGGGAAAGAAAGAAGGCAGCUGUAGGUGCCUGCUGAGCUGUGAUGUGGCUCUUCUUCUCUGCCUGCUGUCACAGGUUGCCCUGCCCUGCAGCUGCUCAGACCCACAUGUAAACACUGAGCCACCAAACUCCUCUCCAAGUUACCUUUCAUCUCCUGGGAGCAGAGAGUGAAACCAAAAUCUGCUUUGCUGUGUUCAGAGCUCGGCUGGCCACCUCUCUGUGAUGAAAGAUCCUGCUGCCUUCAUGUCGUGGCUUUGGGGCUGUCUGCUGGGCUUCUGUGCUCCCAUCGCAGUGUCUGGGGCCAAUUUUUGUGUUCUCUGACUCUAAUGCACGCAGAGUCCUUGUCCCAAACCUAGCAGUAAGGAAACUAGCUGUCUGCUCAGCUUUUCCAGAAAAAAAAGUGAUGGCUGGGAGGCCCAGUCCCUACUUAAGAUGCUGCUAUGAUGCUUCUUGAAACUGGCUCCUGGGAGCUAGCAAUGAGACAAACUGUGUUUGGUUCCUGACCAAGUCUAUGCUUGCCUGUGACGCAAUUAGAGUGAAGUAAUACACGCUGCACGUAGAAUGGUCCAAAUUUCUCGUAGAGAUGAGUGUUAGAGCUGGGCAAAGCUCAGGACCUGUCCCUAGCCCAGUGGUAAUUGUAAGGUAUGGCAGUCCUUUGAAACUGCUUUUGUAUGCAGGGCUGGAAGGGGCCUCCUAACUGAUGCCCACUUACCUUCUAUUUUCUUCAACUUUGUUGACUAUUACUUUCCAUAAACAAGACAUGCUCUGUGUUCGAGGGGAGGGGCUUGUCCUCAUAGUAUUCCAGCUGAAAACCUCUCCAAAACCUGCAGGCUCUGUGACCAAGAAAGCAUCUUCUCCUUUCCAACCUGCCUUCCAUUGUGUCUGCUCCGUACUCAUUUAAUGUGCAUCAAAAAUUGUUCCUUUGCUUAAAAGUGUUCCAUUUCUCCUUCAGCAAGAGAAAACUCGGAACCCAGUGAGGAGGCUAGCCAGUGGUUACCUCUCAGCAUCCCCAUGCAGUUUGCCCCAAACUGUAGCAACUCGCAUAUCUGAUGGUUAGAGCACUGGGUCUUAUAGCCCCAUAGGAUUAGCAAUAAGACAUAAGAAGAGAGAUUUCAGACAUUGCUAGGGUGUCCAGGGAGGCUGAGACUUACUGGCUCAGCCCAGGGCACAUCAAAAAGACUGCCCUACUGCCCGAGCAUCCCUGUUCCUACCAUGUGAGGGUAGAUGUCAGAGAGGACUUGCAGUGGCCAGUGAGAGUUUCUAAGUCACUCACCUGCCAGCCGCACUCAGCCAAAGUUCAGAGAAGCCUCCUAGAAGUGGCAGGAAGUACUCCUCCACCUUUGCAAUGCCUUUAGAGCCUGGCAUGUUGUCCCUGCUGAAUCUGGGCAGCUAUCUAAAUCAGUAAUGGGAACUCCACUGAUGCUGUCUGCUUCACAGAGACAAAAGCAAGAGAUCAUCCCAGCCUUGCAGGGCUGAUGAGCUGACGCAAGCAUGACCCCAUGCCAUCUCCACCUCUGGGAAGCCAGGCAGGUUGAUGCUCUGCUGAUAAACAUAUCUGUGGCUGAGGAGCUGUCUGCAGCGUGGCUUCCAUAAUUACUAACUCUAGUUCAAAGACUUUUAUGCAAAGGAACAAUGGGG
ensembl:lncRNA